rnacentral:rRNA from 1 species
GACGAACCGGACGAACGUUAUUCGGAAUUACUGGGCUUAAAGAGUGCGUAGGCGGGCUGGUAGGUUGGGUGUGAAAUCCCUCGGCUUAACCGAGGAAUUGCGCUCAAAACCGCUGGUCUUGAGGAAGGUAGGGGUGAGCGGAACUGAUGGUGGAGCGGUGAAAUGCGUUGAUAUCAUCAGGAACACCGGUGGCGAAGGCGGCUCACUGGGUCUUUCCUGACGCUGAGGUACGAAAGCUAGGGGAGCAAACGGG